rnacentral:rRNA from 1 species
GAGCGCGGGAAGCUUGUCUGAUCCCUUCGGGGUGAAGCGAGUGGAACGAGCGGCGGACGGGUGAGUAACACGUGGGCAACCUGCCUGUAAGUCUGGGAUAACUCCGGGAAACCGGGGCUAAUACCGGAUAAUACUUUGCUUCGCAUGAAGCAAAGUUGAAAGAUGGCUUUUAGCUAUCACUUACAGAUGGGCCCGCGGCGCAUUAGCUAGUUGGUAAGGUAAUGGCUUACCAAGGCAACGAUGCGUAGCCGACCUGAGAGGGUGAUCGGCCACACUGGGACUGAGACACGGCCCAGACUCCUACGGGAGGCAGCAGUAGGGAAUCUUCCGCAAUGGACGAAAGUCUGACGGAGCAACGCCGCGUGAACGAAGAAGGUUUUCGGAUCGUAAAGUUCUGUUGUUAGGGAAGAACAAGUACCGUUCAAAUAGGGCGGUACCUUGACGGUACCUAUCGAGGAAGCCCCGGCUAACUACGUGCCAGCAGCCGCGGUAAUACGUAGGGGGCAAGCGUUGUCCGGAAUUAUUGGGCGUAAAGCGCGCGUAGGCGGUUUCUUAAGUCUGAUGUGAAAUCUUGCGGCUCAACCGCAAGCGGUCAUUGGAAACUGGGGAACUUGAGUACAGAAGAGGAGAGCGGAAUUCCACGUGUAGCGGUGAAAUGCGUAGAUAUGUGGAGGAACACCAGUGGCGAAGGCGGCUCUCUGGUCUGUAACUGACGCUGAGGUGCGAAAGCGUGGGGAGCGAACAGGAUUAGAUACCCUGGUAGUCCACGCCGUAAACGAUGAGUGCUAGGUGUUAGGGGGUUUCCGCCCCUUAGUGCUGCAGUUAACGCAUUAAGCACUCCGCCUGGGGAGUACGGCCGCAA